rnacentral:lncRNA from 1 species
GAAAAUGCCUCCCAGGGAUGCACAUCACUUUCUCAAUAUCUUCAUAAUCCCUGGCCUCCCCUAGUAUAGCAGCAUACCUGCAUUGCUCUCCUGGCCGUUCAGUCCCUAAGAAGGCGUUAAUGGUGUCAGGAUCAUAACUGAUCAAAUGUCCCCGCACAUAGCUCAUGUAUCUCUCUGCUGAUACUCCUCCCUUGGGCAAGGCAUUGGCAUAAAACUCCUUUACCAACUCAAUACUAGCUAGUGCUGGAUAUGUAGUCAGUCUCUCCC